UACGUAGGGUGCAAGCGUUAAUCGGAAUUACUGGGCGUAAAGCGUGCGCAGGCGGUUAUGCAAGACCGAGGUGAAAUCCCCGGGCUCAACCUGGGAACUGCCUUUGUGACUGCAUAGCUAGAGUACGGUAGAGGGGGAUGGAAUUCCCCGUGUAGCAGUGAAAUGCGUAGAUAUGCGGAGGAACACCGAUGGCGAAGGCGAUCCCCUGGACCUGUACUGACGCUCAUGCACGAAAGCGUGGGGAGCAAACAGG
rnacentral:rRNA from 1 species